CAUGCAAGUCGAACGCUUUGUGGUUCAACUGAUUUGAAGAGCUUGCUCAGAUAUGACGAUGGACAUUGCAAAGAGUGGCGAACGGGUGAGUAACACGUGGGAAACCUACCUCUUAGCAGGGGAUAACAUUUGGAAACAGAUGCUAAUACCGUAUAACAAUGACAACCGCAUGGUUGUUAUUUAAAAGAUGGUUCUGCUAUCACUAAGAGAUGGUCCCGCGGUGCAUUAGCUAGUUGGUAAGGUAAUGGCUUACCAAGGCGAUGAUGCAUAGCCGAGUUGAGAGACUGAUCGGCCACAAUGGGACUGAGACACGGCCCAUACUCCUACGGGAGGCAGCAGUAGGGAAUCUUCCACAAUGGGCGAAAGCCUGAUGGAGCAACGCCGCGUGUGUGAUGAAGGGUUUCGGCUCGUAAAACACUGUUGUAAGAGAAGAAUGACAUUGAGAGUAACUGUUCAAUGUGUGACGGUAUCUUACCAGAAAGGAACGGCUAAAUACGUGCCAGCAGCCGCGGUAAUACGUAUGUUCCAAGCGUUAUCCGGAUUUAUUGGGCGUAAAGCGAGCGCAGACGGUUAUUUAAGUCUGAAGUGAAAGCCCUCAGCUCAACUGAGGAAUUGCUUUGGAAACUGGAUGACUUGAGUGCAGUAGAGGAAAGUGGAACUCCAUGUGUAGCGGUGAAAUGCGUAGAUAUAUGGAAGAACACCAGUGGCGAAGGCGGCUUUCUGGACUGUAACUGACGUUGAGGCUCGAAAGUGUGGGUAGCAAACAGGAUUAGAUACCCUGGUAGUCCACACCGUAAACGAUGAGUGCUAGGUGUUUGAGGGUUUCCGCCCUUAAGUGCCGCAGCUAACGCAUUAAGCACUCCGCCUGGGGGAGUACGACCGCAAGGUUGAAACUCAAAGGAAUUGACGGGGACCCGCACAAGCGGUGGAGCAUGUGUUUAAUUCGAAGCAACGCGAGAACCUUACCAGGUCUUGACAUCCCUUGACAACUCCAGAGAUGGAGCGUUCCCUUCGGGACAAGUGACCAGGUGGUGCAUGGUUGUCGUCAGCCUCGUGUCGUGAAAUGUGGUUAAAGUCCCGCAACGAGCGCAACCCUUAUUACUAGUUGCCAGCAUUCAGUUGGGCACUCUAGUGAGACUGCCGGUGACAAACCGGAGGAAGGUGGGGAUGACGUCAAAUCAUCAUGCCCCUUAUGACCUGGGCUACACACGUGCUACAAUGGCGUAUACAACGAGUUGCCAACCCGCGAGGGUGAGCUAAUCUCUUAAAGUACGUCUCAGUUCGGAUUGUAGGCUGCAACUCGCCUACAUGAAGUCGGAAUCGCUAGUAAUCGCGGAUCAGCACGCCGCGGUGAAUACGUUCCCGGGUCUUGUACACACCGCCCGUCACACCAUGAGAGUUUGUAACACCCAAAGCCGGUGGGGUAACCUUCGGGA
rnacentral:rRNA from 1 species